rnacentral:rRNA from 1 species
UACAGAGGUCCCAAGCGUUGUUCGGAUUCACUGGGCGUAAAGGGUGCGUAGGUGGUUGUGCAAGUCUGAUGUGAAAUCUCCGGGCUUAACCCGGAAAUGGCAUUGGAAACUGCAUGGCUAGAGGGUUGGAGGGGGACUGGAAUACUUGGUGUAGCAGUGAAAUGCGUAGAUAUCAAGUGGAACACCAGUGGCGAAGGCGAGUCCCUGGACAACACCUGACACUGAGGCACGAAAGCUAGGGGAGCAAACAGG